rnacentral:rRNA from 1 species
CGGUGUUUAACUGGCGUGAUGUGGGACGUCCUACCGGUGGGCUUAGCCUCGCGAGGGGCGGCCCAACUAAUAUCCCGUCGCGGUGCUCUUUACUGAGUGUCGAGUCGGGCCGGUACGUUUACUUUGAACAAAUUAGAGUGCUUAAAGCAGGCUAUCCUCGCCUGAAUACUGCGUGCAUGGAAUAAUGGAAUAGGACCUCGGUUCUAUUUGUUGGUUUUCGGAACCCCGAGGUAAUGAUUAAUAGGGACAGAUGGGGGCAUUCGUAUUGCGACGUUAGAGGUGAAAUUCUUGGAUCGUCGCAAGACGGACAGAAGCGAAAGCAUUUGCCAAAAAUGUUUUCAUUAAUCAAGAACGAAAGUUAGAGGUUCGAAGGCGAUCAGAUACCGCCCUAGUUCUAACCAUAAACGAUGCCAGCUAGCGAUCCGCCGAAGUUCCUCCGAUGACUCGGCGGGCAGCUUCCGGGAAACCAAAGCUUUUGGGUUCCGGGGGAAGUAUGGUUGCAAAGCUGAAACUUAAAGGAAUUGACGGAAGGGCACCACCAGGAGUGGAGCCUGCGGCUUAAUUUGACUCAACACGGGAAACCUCACCAGGCCCAGACACCGGAAGGAUUGACAGAUUGAUAGCUCUUUCAUGAUUUUAUGGGUGGUGGUGCAUGGCCGUUCUUAGUUGGUGGAGUGAUUUGUCUGGUUAAUUCCGAUAACGAACGAGACCUUAACCUGCUAAAUAGCCAGGCCGGCUUCGGCUGGUCUCUGGCUUCUUAGAGGGACUGUCAGCGUCUAGCUGACGG